rnacentral:tRNA from 1 species
ACUUAUAUAGUUUAAGGAGAAUGAUAAUUUGUGGAAUUGUCGGUAUAUUAUUAUUAUAAGUC